rnacentral:rRNA from 1 species
AGCGAACGCUGGCGGCAGGCUUAACACAUGCAAGUCGAACGGGCGUAGCAAUACGUCAGUGGCAGACGGGUGAGUAACGCGUGGGAACGUACCUUUUGGUUCGGAACAACCCAGGGAAACUUGGGCUAAUACCGGAUAAGCCCUUACGGGGAAAGAUUUAUCGCCAAUGGAUUGGCCCGCGUCUGAUUAGCUAGUUGGUGAGGUAAUGGCUCACCAAGGCGACGAUCAGUAGCUGGUCNGAGAGGAUGAUCAGCCACACUGGGACUGAGACACGGCCCAGACUCCUACGGGAGGCAGCAGUGGGAAUAUUGGACAAUGGGCGAAAGCCUGAUCCAGCCAUGCCGCGUGAUAGAUGAA